GCCCGGGGGGCUCAGUCGGUUGAGCGUCCGACUUGGGCUCAGGUCGUGAUCUCACAGCUUGUGGGUUCGAGCCCCACGUCGGGCU
rnacentral:tRNA from 1 species